AAACGUUGUUGCGACAGCAUUCCUACGUAGUACGAAGAGGACCCGCAGGUACGGAACAAUGACGCAAUACUUGAUCGAGCGAACAGUGGUAGGACGGUACGUGCGUUGGAUUAUGACUGCACGCCUCUAAGAUAGUAUCCGUUCAGGAACACAACCACAAUUAAGGGGCCACAUUCUCACUUCUACCAUCCAUCAUCAUUCAUACAAUUCCUUCCUGCAAUUGCAAACGUCGCCUGGAAAAUGCAGCUCUAGCAAACUCAUUCAUUCUUCUAAUCCUAUCUCUAGUGGAGAGUGAUUGACUUACGU
rnacentral:ncRNA from 1 species